rnacentral:rRNA from 1 species
UACGGAGGGUGCAAGCGUUAUCCGGAUUCACUGGGUUUAAAGGGUGCGUAGGCGGGCUUGUAAGCCAGAUGUGAAAGCCCCGGGCUUAACCUGGGAAUGGCAUUUGGGACUGCAAGGCUUGAGUGCGGCAGAGGAGACUGGAAUUCCCGGUGUAGCAGUGAAAUGCGUAGAUAUCGGGAGGAAUACCGAUGGCGAAGGCAGGUCUCUGGGCUGACACUGACGCUCAUGCACGAAAGCGUGGGGAGCAAACAGG